GGGCCCGCACAAGCGGUGGAGCAUGUGGUUUAAUUCGAUGCAACGCGAAGAACCUUACCUACCCUUGAAAUCCUCAGAAUUCUCUAGAGAUAGAGAAGUGCCUUCGGGAACUGAGUGACAGGUGCUGCAUGGCUGUCGUCAGCUCGUGUCGUGAGAUGUUGGGUUAAGUCCCGUAACGAGCGCAACCCCUACUCUUAAUUGCCAGCGGUUCGGCCGGGAACUUUAAGAGAACUGCCGGUGAUAAACCGGAGGAAGGUGGGGAUGAUGUCAAGUCAUCAUGGCCCUUACGGGUAGGGCUACACACGUGCUACAAUGGACAGUACAGAGGGCUGCAAACCCGCGAGGGGAGCGAAUCCCUUAAAGCUGUUCUCAGUCCGGAUUGGAGUCUGCAACUCGACUCCAUGAAGUUGGAAUCGCUAGUAA
rnacentral:rRNA from 1 species